rnacentral:rRNA from 1 species
CGCUGGCGGCGUGCCUAACACAUGCAAGUCGAACGCAACCUUCGGGUUGAGUGGCGAAAGGGUGAGUAAUACACAGACAACCUGCCUUUGGGUUGGGGAUAACUCGGGGAAACCUGAGCUAAUACCCAAUAAGACCCCACGGACACCUGUUCGUGCGGUCAAAGUUCCGGCGCCCAUAGAGGGGUCUGUGGCCUAUCAGCUAGUUGGUAAGGUAAUGGCUUACCAAGGCUUCGACGGGUAGCAGGUCUGAGAGGACAAUCUGCCACACUGGGACUGAGACACUGCCCAGACUCCUACGGGAGGCUGCAGUGGGGAAUUUUGGGCAAUGAGCGAAAGCUUGACCCAGCGACGCCGCGUGUGCGAAGAAGGCCUUCGGGUUGUAAAGCACCGUUGCAGGGAAUGAAGGACUAUGUCUUGACGUUCACCUGUGAGUAAGUUCUGGCUAAACACGUGCCAGCAGCCGCGGUAAUACGUGUAGAGCAAGCGUUGCUCGGUAUCACUGGGCUUAAAGGGUGUGUAGGUGGCUUGGUCAGUAAGGUGUGAAAUCCUACGGCUUACCCGUAGAACUGCAUCUUAUACUUCCAAGCUAGAGUGCCAAAGAGGAUAGCGGAAUUCUGGGAGUAGCGGUGGAAUGCAUAGAUAUCCAGGAGAACGCCGGCGGCGAAGGCGGCUAUCUGGUUGGUUACUGACACUGAAACACGAAAGCCAGGGGAGCGAACGGGAUUAGAUACCCCGGUAGUCCUGGCCCUAAACGAUGUGCACUUGAUGGUGGGGAUUAAUCCUCGCUGUCGUAGCGAAAGGCGUUAAGUGCACCGCCUGGGGAUUACGCUCGCAAGGGUAAAACUCAAAGGAAUUGACGGGGGCUUACACAAGCGGUGGAGCAUGUUGUUUAAUUCGAUGAUACGCGAAGAACCUUACCCAGACUUGACAUGUACGUAGUAGUGAAGUGAAAGUGGAACGAUCCCGCAUUAGUGGGAAGCGUACACAGGUGCUGCAUGGCUGUCGUCAGCUCGUGUCGUGAGAUGUCGCGUUAAGUCGCUUAACGAGCGCAACCCCUGCGAUUAGUUGCCAGCGGUUCGNCCGGGGACUCUAAUUGGACUGCCGGUGUCAAACCGGAGGAAGGUGGGGACGACGUCAAGUCAUCAUGGCCCUUACGUCUGGGGCUACAAACGUGCUACAAUGGUAGGUACAGAGGGAAGCAAGACCGCGAGGUGGAGCAAAUCUCACAAAGCCUGCCCCAGUUCAGAUUGGAGGCUGCAAUUCGCCUCCAUGAAGCUGGAAUCGCUAGUAAUCGCGGAUCAGACACGCCGCGGUGAAUCCGUUCCUAAGCCUUGUACACACCGCCCGUCAAGCCACGAAAGUCGGGAGCGCCUGAAGUCGCUAGCCUAA